rnacentral:rRNA from 1 species
CCUACGGGAGGCAGCAGUGAGGAAUAUUGGUCAAUGGGCGCCAGCCUGAACCAGCCAAGUAGCGUGAAGGAUGACUGCCCUAUGGGUUGUAAACUUCUUUUGUCAGGGAAGAGUAGAAGACGGUACCUGCCGAAUAAGCCACCGCUAACUACUGGCCAGCGGCCGCGGUAAUCCGUAGGUGGCAGGCGUUGUGCGGAUUUGAUGGGUUUAAAGGGCGUGUAGCGGGGUUGAUAAGUCAGAUGUGAAAUCCUGCGGAUUAAACGCAGAAUUGCAUUUGAAACUGGUGAUCUUGAGUACUGGAGAGGUAGAUGGAAUUCGUGGUGUAGCGGUGAAAUGCGUAGAUAUUAGGAAGAACACCAGUGGCGAAGGCAGUCUGCUGGACAGCAACUGACGGUGAGGCGCGAAAGCGUGGGGAGCAAACAGGAUUAGAUACCCGAGUAGUC